AUUGAACGCUGGCGGCAGGCCUAACACAUGCAAGUCGAGCGGAUGAAGGGAGCUUGCUCCUGGAUUCAGCGGCGGACGGGUGAGUAAUGCCUAGGAAUCUGCCUGGUAGUGGGGGAUAACGUCCGGAAACGGGCGCUAAUACCGCAUACGUCCUGAGGGAGAAAGUGGGGGAUCUUCGGACCUCACGCUAUCAGAUGAGCCUAGGUCGGAUUAGCUAGUUGGUGGGUUAAAGGCCUUCCAAGGCGACGAUCCGUAACUGGUCUGAGAGGAUGAUCAGUCACACUGGAACUGAGACACGGUCAAGACUACUAAGGGAGGCAGCAGUGGGGAAUAUUGGACAGUGGGCGAAAGCAUGAUCCAGCCAUGCCGCGUGUGUGAAGAAGGUCUUCGGAUUGUGAAGAACUUUAAGUGGGGAGGAAGGGCAGUAAGUUAAUACCUUGCUGUUUUGACGUUACCAACAGAAUAAGCACCGGCUAACUUCGUG
rnacentral:rRNA from 1 species